GGGCUUGUACUGGUUUCGACGGGGGUCUAGAAGUUAGAGUAGCCAUCCGCAGCGCGGGACUGCGUUAAAACCUGCAACUUAAAAUUAAACGCAGACGAAAAUUUAGCGUACGCUGCCUAAUUGUGCAGCAGUCGGCCUUAGGUCUCUCACCGCUUAAGUAACCGGCUUCAACAAGGUGAGGCACUUUGUCUCCAAAGCUUUGAGGGGAUAAAAGAAUUUAUGAAGCUACUGAAGUGAAAAGCCUGUCACCGGGCGUUUCAUGGAGGGAAUGUCAAAACGAUGACUGUGAUUGGGAGAAGCUAUAAUGGAAGGGCUUUCGGACGCGGGUUCAACUCCCGCCAGGUCCAU
rnacentral:tmRNA from 1 species